GGGCGGGCCGGGGCGGGGCGGGGCGGCCGCUCGCCCCCAGCCCGCGCGGGGCCCCGCUCGCCACUCGCCCGGCGGCGGCGGCGGGAGGCGCCGGGACGGCAGCGGAGGCCGGUAACGAGGUGAUCUGUAAGACCAGCUCUGGGGAGCGAACGCAAAAUGAGCAGCAGCGGACAGUGCAGAAGAGGCAGAGGGCUCUCAGUCUGAGCCGAGAGGAUUUGAAGAUGUCUGCCUGCAGUGAAUUUGUGGAACACGUCUGGAAGCCCGGCUCCUGCAAAAACUGCUUCAACCCCAAGAGUUCCCAUCGGCUGCAAACGCCCCCUGACGCGGGUGCUUGCAGCGUGCUGCCGAAUGGAGUCAGGGCCAAGCCUGAGAGCCCAGUGUUGGAAGACGAAGGUGUAAAUACCUCCUCUUUCUCGAAGCCAACAAUCGCCGUGAAGCCGACUAUGAUAAACUCGGAUGUUUCUGACUCGUGGGCGGAUAUGAAUAUGAAUUCAGGUCUGUCGCAGGUCAGCUGGGUUUCUGGCAAACACCUCCUUCUGAAACCAGGAGAUGCACAGAGGAUCUGCCUCAACAGUUUUGGCGGUGGUGGCGUGCGGAAGCCCUUCGCGCACAGCCCACCGAAUGACUGCUCAUCCUGCUGCCCUCCGAGCUACUCCAUGGUGGGCCUGCGCAGCCUGGAAAGCCGGGUGGAGAGAAACGUCUCCAUCCACAGCCUGGUGUUUGUAGGGGAGGUGAGCGGGCAGGAGGACAGAGCCAAAGACAAGCUCACCCUGCCGCAUCGGGGCUUCUGCCCUCAUCUGUCUGCCUUGGGAGAGAGAGGCACUACGGACUCCAGCAGGAGCCCUGCUUUCCAGGCAAGAGACAGAGCAGGGCUCCCCUUGGAGGGCAGUUACAGUCAUCCCUCUCUUGGCUUCGAAAGUGAAGGGGGCGAGUACUGUUCAAUCGCGGACUGUUGCCGAGAGCACCCCAUCUCCCAGGAGCCACCCUGCUUGGAGGGCAAGGGCUCCUGGGCUGAGAAGGAGGGCUCAGCUUCUUGGGCCUGGAGGCACCAGGAUGCGCCCGAUAUUCCCACGCCGAGCGGCAGGGCAGUGAAGUUCAGUGAAGAGGAGCGCAGAGCUGUGAACGUGGCCUUCUGCAUCCCGAAAGACCAAGGUGACCCUCUCCCCUACGCCUUGUGUUCGGAGAGGAAAAAGCUGGCCCUCCGCUCGGAGGCUGCCGCGCUACCUGGCAGUGGUCCCUUUGCUUUACCCCAGGAGAAUGACUGCUCUCCUCUCCUUGGAGACCUGGAUCUCCCCGGAGGCCCCCAGCCCGAGGGCUUGAGCACUUCUCAGCAGGCGUUGGUGGAGCUGCAGCGCUCCCCGCUCGCUGAGCCAGCCCGUGGUGAUCCCAUCUAUGCGGAGAGCACCAAGAGGAAGAAAGCUCAGCUGAAGAGCAUCGGUGGACACGCAAAGCCGGACAAUCUGGCCCGCAGCCCCGGCAAGGAGCAAGCUGAUGGUACAUGGAGGGACAGUGGCUGGACUUUGAGCGCCGAGAAGGAGUACCAAGACUCCACCGCCCAGGUAGCAGCAAAGAUAACUAUUAUGACCGCACACACGGAGGAUGAUCAUAAGACUAUAUUCCUCAGCAGCCCUGACUCAGCCGUGGGAGUGCAGUGGCCGUGUGUUAGUCCCACUUCCCACCCCGACUUUGGGAGCUCAUCACCUGCCGUUGAGCCUGCAGAGAUCUUUCAAGCGUCUGGAAGUGAAAACGGCCCGCGAUUUCACCUGGUGGCUCCUGCCAAGACCUCAGUUGCUGAGAGUCCGGCCAUUCCCCCAAAGAUGUCCAAAAACAGCCAGCCAGGUAGUGAGGGGACUCACGUGCCCCCGGUCAGCUCCUCGUCGGCAAGGUUUGGUGACGACAAUAGCCGUGAUGCAACCAGUGCUCAGCUGCAGCCGAGGAGCUGUACAGAUACAGGUGCCUUCGGAGUGUCCCCCUCUCCGUGUGCUCGUGUUAGCGGGGUCCCUGCAGAGGAGGCUGGCAGAGGCAUGACAGGCUCGUCCUGCGACAGGAGGCAGAAAUACUACACCCUGGCAUGGAGCAAGCAGUGCCGGAUAGAGGAAGAGGAGGAGGAGCAGGGGCUCGCCACCCCCCCGCGGGCGGGGGGAGUGGAGAACAGAAGAGCUGGUACCCACCUUGCGGAUGACUGCUCAAUGCCGGAGAGCCAGGCUGGGAUCAGCAAAUCGUCAUCUUUCUCCUUUGAUUUUCCUAAAGACAGGAGCAACAGCGUGGAAUUUGCACCGCCGCCACCACCACCACCACCAAAAAAGCAGUCCAGGCAUGCUCUGAAAAUGGACCCGAGUAAUGCUGAGUUGGAGAGGGUCAGCAACAGCUCUGCCGAGAGCCUCAGCCCACCUUUCAGGAGCGUCCAUGUCAGCUUCAUGGCUGGCUCCUCCGACAGCCUCGACUCAGACACGCAAACCGGCAGCGAUGGUGGGCAUUCGUCGGAGCCAAAUCACUCCCCGCCAGCAGCCGAGAGCCAAGCGUUUCCCCCCAUCCCUUUUGCUGCUGACUCCUGUGAGGACGGUCCCCCCUCUGUCCCCAGCCACCCGCCUCCUCUGCCCCAGAAGAAGACGGUGAGCAGAACUGUGUCCUCCCCGGAUGGCUUCUUCUGGGGACCGGCCUCUUUGGGCAGAGCGGCCAGCGCCACUAGCCCCAGGCUGAACAUCAGCCACUCCGAGAGCAACGUCUGCCUCCGUGAGGAGUCUCCCUUUGGCUACCCGGCGUGCCUGGGGGGCCCCCCUGGUGCCUUCUCCUCCUGCGAAUCAUUGGAGAAAGGCUCGAAAGGAAAUGGCUCCUGGGGCUCAGCUGCUAGCAAAAGCACGGGGACCUGCAUCCCCAGCAGAAACCACCAGGCCCUUUCCUCCUCGCAGCUCAGCGUGUCCAGCCAGGUGUCUUCGGGCUCCAGCCUCCAGCUCCACAACCUCCUCAGCAAUAUUGACAGCAAGGAAGGGGUGUACGCCAAGCUGGGAGCUCUCUACGCCGAGUCCGUGCGCCGCCUGGUUGCCAAGUGCGAGGACUGCUUCAUGCGGGAGCAGAAGAACGAGCUGCACUUCAACGAGAACAACUGGUCGCUCUUCAAGCUGACGUGCAACAAGCCCUGCUGUGAUUCAGGGGACGCCAUAUAUUACUGUGCCACCUGCUCCAAGGACCCCUCCACCACCUAUGCCGUGAAGAUUUGUAAAACUCAAGAGUCGAAGGUGGCUGCUUCGUACUGCAGCCCCAUGGUGCCCGUCCACUUCAACAUCCAGCAGGACUGUGGGCAUUUUGUAGCCUCUGUCCCCUCCAGCAUGCUGCUGGCCUCGGAUGGGGGGAACAGUGUUCCUGUGGAUGGCCUCCGUCCCUCCCGGCCUGCCAGUGAGCAUGACUGCGUGGUGGUCAUCACCCGGGAGGUGCCGAGCCAGACCACUGCCGACUUCGUGAGGGACUCGGUGGCGUUGCACCAAGCCAAGCCUGAGUUGUAUGAACGCCGUGUUUGCUUCUUGCUCCUCCAGCUCUGCAAUGGCCUGGAGCAUCUCAAAGAGCAUGGCAUCAUCCAUCGCGACCUGUGCCUGGAGAAUCUCCUACUUGUCCCGUGCAAGCCCCCCAUGAGCUGUGUGAAAGCCAAAGAUGACAAACGCUUACCCCGCCUCAUCAUCAGCAAUUUUUUGAAAGCCAAGCAGAAGUCAGGAGCUGGAGACUCCAAACUGAAGAAGAGCCAGGCCCGGCUGGCUCCGGAGAUUGUGUCGGCUUCUCAGUACAAGAAGUUUGAUGAGUUUCAGACUGGCAUUCUCAUUUACGAGCUGCUGCACCAGCCCAACCCUUUCGAGGAGAAGGUGCACCUCAGAGAGCAGGAGUACAGCCCCGAGGAUCUGCCUGCUCUGCCCAGCCUGUCCAUCUACUCCCGGGGGCUCCAGCAGUUGGCCCACCUGCUGCUGGAAGCGGAUCCCAUCAAGCGCUUGAGGAUCACCGAGGCCAAGCGGAUGCUGCAGUGCCUACUCUGGGGGCCCCGGAAGGACCUCACUGAGCAGCCCCUCAACCACGAGGAAGCCCUCCGCCAGGCACUGCAGAACUGGGUUGACAUGAAGCGUGCCCUGCUGAUGAUGAAGUUUGCUGAGAGGGCCGUGGAUGCGGAGCGGAGCGUUGAACUGGAGGACUGGCUGUGCUGCCAGUAUUUAGCAUCCACCGAGCCCACCUCUCUCUUGCACACACUAAAACUGCUGCAGCUGCUCUGACCUUGGACGUGUCUCAGAGGCGGCCAAGGGUUCCUGGUUUCCUCACGGCUAAAGGUCCGCGCAAAGACAGCCACGCGGUUGGUGGUCUCCAGCAUCCACAGGUCGCUGCCUGAAAGAUCGCCCUGGCCUGCCUCCGGCCCGAAGCCUGCUGCCUCGAGGAGGGCCUCAUCCAGCAUCCAGUGUGAAUAGUAGGCCAGCUUGAAGAGCAAGGCUUGUGUCCACAUGCUAUGCACACAACUCAGACCAGCGCAGCCCUGCAUGGUGGCCAACUGACCCUCCAGUCCUGCGCGCAGCACCUGCAGAGCCAGUGCACAGAGGCAUCUCCGGCCAGCAGCCCCCAGCGGGCAGUGGGAAGUGCCCGAGAACUCGAUCUGGGCCUGAAACCUCCUAAAGGAGCACAGGGGACCUCCUAGGAGGGCUGGGAAAAAAAGCAAGUAGCUACAGAGAGGCAGUGCUCGCUGCAAAAGCCCCUGGCUGGGCUGGAGUGUCACGGUCCCUUCAUGAACAUCCAGGGCCAGAGAUGUAACUUUCUGGGUCAGCAGCAUGAUGGCAGAGAGGAUGACAGCUGACCUACAAGGAAAGUACCCAGGAGCUGCUGUGAGUCUUUUGAAGGGAGCAUUAGAGGCACAGCAGCAAGGUUGUGCAUGGAAGACGUGCUUCCCACAUCCCAGCGUGCACAGAUGGUGUGGUGAGGGGAGGCCAGCUGCUGGGGAACAGCAAGCUCACUUGGCUCAGGAGCUCUCUGCCCUCCUGAAAUGCCCUGGAGGGCUCCAAGCUCUCUGAGGGGGAGCAGGAGGGAGGCAGAGCUGGAGGGGUUACCUGAUGUCUUGUGGGUCCAGCUCCUGGCUCCUCAGGCCCAGAUGGCAGAGCGUCUGCCAGGACAUCUGGAGGCUGAAGACCCAGGUGUGGACACGUGCUGGGCUGACGGAGAGUAGGACGAGCACGGAGCCGGCUGUGGGGAUGAAGAGCAGCAAGGCAUAGCUGCCCAUGGCUGUGCUGGCAAGGAGGCAUCCUCCAGCAAGCAGGGAGACAUACCUGGAAGGGAAGGGAUGCCUUUUGGCUGGCUGUUAGGAGAAAAGAGACUUGAAACUCCUGCUCCGGUAUUGAUGGUGGGGCUUCACCCGGGUCCAAGAGCCUCCCUGGUACCCCUGUAGUUCGUCCCUUAGCAUCCCAUGGGGCCGUUGUGGCUGCAAGUGGCAAUGGGGGGGACCAGGACCCGUGUUGCUGGCGCUGCUCCCUGUCUUAGCCAUGCCCGAAGCAGUCCCCAUUCUCUGCCUUGCUCUGUUGCCCAUGUGCCCUCCUGAUACACUGCUAAACCCCUCUCUGAUAACACAGGAGUGUCAGACAAGGCUGUUUUGGCCUUAACGACCCCAAACUGGCCCCACCAUAGAGAGGGAAUGAGGAACAGCUCACAUCUGAGACAUUACAAAUGCCUGUACCCGUGUCAGUCAGGACUCGAUAUCCGUCCUGCUGCACCUCUGGCUGGGAGAGCUCAGCUCAGCUGCAGGGGCAAUGACCACAUACCGGGCAGUUGGAGAGAGGUGCCCCGAAGCACUGAGGUGGUGGAGGAGAGCAGCGAAGGGGAAAGCUGCCAGCUGGUAUGAGGCCAUGGGGCAAAGGACAAGCAGGUUUGCCCAGUGCAUCGAGCCACUUGCUUCUUUGAUGUCCUCUGAUGCCUGGAGAAAGGAUGAGCCACGAGCUGCUCUGGCUUCUCUUUAUAUGUGGCAGGACCAUACCACAAACUGCAAAAAAAAAAAAAAAAAAAAAAGAGAGCAGGGCCAAAGAAACAGAGGUAUCUGCAGGAAGUGGAGCACAGUGUUUGCAUUCGUCAGUGCUGACUCCUUGAAGCACCUCUGCCCCAAGGUUUGUGUGCAGGUGGAAAAAAUUCAGGCUUGGUGUUUGCUCUGCCAGGUGCUUGAGCCCUUGCCCUGGAGUGAGAGUGAGCUACCAAGAUAAGAUCCUCUUUGGGUUGCCACGUGCAUCAGGCUGGGAUGUAUUUCAGAGCAAAUCCCCAGUCACAUCCAGGGAUUUAUCAGGCUUGGUCCUUCCUCUCAGCUCAGACUGUCAGCCUUUUCUCCCAGCUCUUGCCCCACUUGUCAUGGGGUGGCAGUGGAGACCUCCUGGUAUUUACACCCCUGCUCACAGAGAGGAGAAGACAGGCCCUGCUGCUCCGCAAUGGGGCCCCAGUACUCAGACCAGGCCACAGAGCCUUUUCAUUUACCAAAAAUAGUUCUAUUCUUCCCAAACAGUUUUUCUUCAAGAAAAUAAAGAAACACAAAAAAAUGGAAUCACCGAGCUGUGUGUCACGGUAGAAAUUAGUUGUUGCUGAUAAACUCUUUAAACCACACAUUCAUUCAAAAAUACGCAGUCUGGAAAGGCAAAAGCUCUUCUUUGUGACCAGAUGUAAAAAGUGAUUUGAAGACUGAUCUCUGGAGUGAGUUACUAUUGCUCCCCUAUUGUCAGCCAUAGUAUUUCAUGCUAAACAGGCCGAAAGCCCAAGAAAAUCAGCCUGCAAGACUUCACUCUUUCUUUUUUUCGUGAGAUGUAGUUAGAAAAACCCCAAAAUUCAAAAGAAAUGGAAACAUGGCUUUUUUUUUUAAACUUGAUUGAUAUCUGCUUUAUUUUAGGCAUACAAAAAGGUAAGUUCAGUGUCAUUGCAAAGAAAAAUACUAUGAAAUUUCCUCCUGGAGGAAAAAAUAACAUGCUGGAGGGGUAGGAUAAAUAAGGUUUUCCCCUUCCUGACAUGAAUGCUUCAAAAUAUUUAGUCUUUUGAUCUGAUAUUUCUGACAUUUCUGUCUGACAUUUCUGAACAUUUCUACUCUUUAACAGUUUAUUAAAACCAGUAAGUUUUUCACAAGA